UUAUUGGAGAGUUUGAUCCUGGCUCAGGACGAACGCUGGCGGCGUGCCUAAUACAUGCAAGUCGAGCGGACUUGAUGGAGUGCUUGCACUCCUGAAGGUUAGCGGCGGACGGGUGAGUAACACGUAGGCAACCUGCCCUCAAGACUGGGAUAACUACCGGAAACGGUAGCUAAUACCGGAUAAUUUAUUUCACGGCAUGGUGGAAUAAUGAA
rnacentral:rRNA from 1 species